GUUAAAAAGCUCGUAGUUGGAUUUCUGUGGGGACGGAGCGGCCGGCCGCACAUCGCGGUUCGAGCUAGCGCUUUCCCUACAUCCUGCCGCGAACCGUGCUACCAUUAGUUUGGUGGCGCUGGGGAUCGGCUCGAUUACUUUGAGAAAAAUAGAGUGUUCAAAGCAGGCCACACGCCUUGAAUAAGUUAGCAUGGAAUAAUAACUAAGGACUUCGUGUUCUAUUUUGUUGGUGUUCGGGACUGAAGUAAUGAUUGAUAGGGACAGUUGGGGCGGUCAGUAUUCCUUAGCGAGAGGUGAAAUUCUUAGACCUUUCGGAAGACUAACA
rnacentral:rRNA from 1 species